GAUGAAGAACGUAGCGAAAUGCGAUAAGUAAUGUGAAUUGCAGAAUUCAGUGAAUCAUCGAAUCUUUGAACGCACAUUGCGCCCAUUAGUAUUCUAGUGGGCAUGCCUGUUCGAGCGUCAUUAAGUCCACUUAAGCCCUGCUUAGUGUUGGGAGACUGCUCCAGCGGUGCUACCCUGUAGCUACCCUGCAGCUCCUCCAAGACAGCGGCGGAGUUGUGGUAUCCUCUGAGCUUAGUAACUUGUUCUAGCUUUCGAGUACACCACUUCCCCUGCCGUAAAACCCUUAAUUUUUAAUGGUUGACCUCGGAUCAGGUAGGAAUACCCGCUGAAAUUAAGCAUAUCAAUAAGCGGAGGA
rnacentral:misc_RNA from 1 species